GCUUCGAUUCGCGGCGAUUUUUUAUAAUAACACCACCAGCAACGGCAAUGACAAUGACUAUGCUGAUGCUUAUCCACCUUGGAUUGGCCCAGCAUGGAGUGUUGCUUUUGAAAGAUACCGAAACUGGAACGUUCCAUGCCGAGGGAGGAGGGAAGUACUGAAAGCUCGGACAAUUUUGUAGACAGUUAUCGUUCUCCAUCAGGAAACUCUCUGUAGCUCAAUGCAAGCGGGGGCGUCUGCAAAAAAAUUUUGAAGCAUCAUUCAUACAAAAAAAAAAAAAAGUGGUUUCUUAUCAGAAAAGAAACACUUCUUUUUAUCACGAUAGAUUAGGAAGAUUAUAUGAACCGAGCGCGAGAUCAAGAUAAUUGAAAAUGAAAUUAAGCAAGAUGUAAUAUUAGUCGAAGAGUCGAAGGAGGUGCUUGCACGUACCUCAGCGAGAAGAACUGAGCAAACCAGGGACUGAUGUUAUCGCUACAAUCUUG
rnacentral:lncRNA from 1 species